GUGGGGAAUUUUGGACAAUGGGCGCAAGCCUGAUCCAGCAAUGCCGCGUGCAGGAAGAAGGCCUUCGGGUUGUAAACUGCUUUUGUACGGAACGAAACGGUCCGGGUUAAUACCCUGGGCUAAUGACGGUACCGUAAGAAUAAGCACCGGCUAACUACGUGCCAGCAGCCGCGGUAAUACGUAGGGUGCAAGCGUUAAUCGGAAUUACUGGGCGUAAAGCGUGCGCAGGCGGUUUUGUAAGACAGGCGUGAAAUCCCCGGGCUCAACCUGGGAAUUGCGAUUGUGACUGCAAGACUGGAGUGCGGCAGAGGGGGAUGGAAUUCCGCGUGUAGCAGUGAAAUGCGUAGAUAUGCGGAGGAACACCGAUGGCGAAGGCAAUCCCCUGGGCCUGCACUGACGCUCAUGCACGAAAGCGUGGGGAGCAAACAGGAUUAGAAACCGGUAGUCC
rnacentral:rRNA from 1 species